rnacentral:rRNA from 1 species
GAUGAACGCUGGCGGCGUGCUUAGCACAUGCAAGUCGAACGGAGAAGCGCCUUCCUUUUUGGUGGGUGUGGAUGAGUGGCGAACGGGUUAGUAAGACGUUAGUAACCCGCUACCUCCUUCUUGACAACGGCAAGAAGGAGCGGCUAAUACGGGAUAUUCUGGGCCUGUCGCUUGAAGGGUGUGGGAAGGUUUUGGUUUCGGUGGGGGAUGGGUCCGCGGCGUAUUAGCUUGUUGGUGGGGUGAUGGCUUACCAAGGCGAUGACGAGUAGCCGGCCUGAGAGGGUGGACGAUCACAGUGGGACUAAGACACGGCGAAGACUACGACGGGAAGCAGCAGGGAAGAAUACUGCACGGGGGGAAGAAUGCUGAAGCAGCGACGCCGCGGGGAGGAAGGUCUCCGUCGGGUAAUACACCGCUUUCAGGAGAGAAGCUAUGCGGCAGCGAUUGUGCGUGGCUUGACGGUACCUAGAUAAGAAGCGCCGGCUAACUACGUG